rnacentral:lncRNA from 1 species
UUUUUUUAAAGGCAAAGUGAAACAUAAAAGAUUCUGUCUCCUUCCCUCCACAGUACUCACUACUUGAUCUCCAAGGGAGAGAGAAAAAAGCAUUUUGUACAGGAAACGUCACCAGGAAUUUUACAGGCCACACAGGGAAGGAAAACUGCCUUGCCUUGAAUCCAACACAGCAGGGACCUGGGCACUGACUGGAAUAGAGAACUGAGUUCAAUGAAAGAUGGAGCCAAGACUGAUGCCUUCUGUGUAGAACACCCACCAUCUCUCAAGAGCUGAGAUUCUGUGAAGGCCCCAUGGAGCUGGCUUCAUAGGAUGAAGCUGAAAUACACCAAGAAGUAAAGGAACAACUGGGUUUCAUGACUUUAAAAGUCCAACAUUGGGAAGAAGUAAGUAAAGGGAAAUUUUUACUUUAACUUUUCUGCCCCAGAUUUGGUUUUAGCCUCCCUGGGGAAUAAAAAUCCAGAUAAGUGAGCCAUAGAUGUCAGUGAGCUUCUUGAAACUAGUGAUGGAGUUCUGGAGCUGUGCUAAGGGUCAUAAAAAGCCCGGUGGAAAUUAUGCCUUUGUUUCCAUUAGCGCUGAUUAGCUGACUAAAAUAUCAGGGUUCUGUAGUUUAGGUCAGUGUAGCAUUGGCAUCUCUGGUUGAUCUUAUGUACUUUUAUGUAUUGACCCCUUAUCCUUUGGUCAAUAAAAAUUGUAAAACUAUCUUUCUUGAAAUUGAUUUGAUGGCCAUAUUUUUCAAAAUGUAGGGUCCAUAUAGAGAAAAUUCUCUAAAGAGGUUGUUGGUGGG